rnacentral:rRNA from 1 species
UAGCAGCUUACAUGCAGUCGAGCGGAACGAUUCUAGCUUGCUAGAAGGCGUCGAGCGGCGGACGGGUGAGUAAUGCAUGGGAAUCUGCCCGAUAGUGGGGGACAACCUGGGGAAACUCANGCUAAUACCGCAUACNUCCUACNGGAGAAAGCANGGGAUCUUCNGACCUUGCGCUAUCGGAUGAGCCCAUGUCNGAUUANCUUGUUGGUGAGGUAAC